GAUGAACGCUAGCUACAGGCUUAACACAUGCAAGUCGCGGGACCGGCGCACGGGUGAGUAACGCGGUUCCAACCUGCCCGUCACCACGGGAUAACCCGGCGCAAGUCGGACUAAUACCGUCUGGUGAAGGAUGGGGAUGCGUCCGAUGAGGUUGACGGCGGGGUAACGGCCCAACGUGGCUACGAUCGGUAGGGGUUCUGAGAGGAAGGGCCCCCACACUGGAACUGAGACACGGUCCAGACUCCUACGGGAGGCAGCAGUGAGGAAUAUUGGUCAAUGGGCGUAAGCCUGAACCAGCCAAGUAGCGUGCAGGACGACGGCCUAUGGGUUGUAAACUGCUUUUAUGCGGGGAUAGGUACCGCAUGAAUAAGGACCGGCUAAUUCCGUGCCAGCAGCCGCGGUAAUUC
rnacentral:rRNA from 1 species